CUAUGGUAGAAGGGUGUUUUACUAUGGCAGGAGGGUGUUUUACUAUUUCAGAAGGGUGUUUUACUAUGGUAGAAGGGUGUUUUACUAUGUCAGAAGGGUGUUUUACUAUGUCAGAAGGGUGUUUUACCAUGGUAGAAGGGUGUUUUACUAUGGUAGAAGGGUGUUUUACUAUGGUAGAAGGGUGUUUUACUAUGGUAGAAGGGUGUUUUACUAUGGUAGAAGGGUGUUUUACUAUGGUAGAAGGGUGUUUUAGUGGCCGUUGUUCCCGUGAUAAAGUAUUUUCCCCCUUUUUAGUUUUCUCUUCUUUUGCAUAUUUUUGACACUGAAUGUUAUCAGAUCUUCAACCAAAACCUAAUAUUAGAUAAAGGAAACCUGAGUGAACAAAUAACACAACAAUUACAUUCUUUAUUUAAUUUAUUUCAUAAACAAAGUUAUGCAACACCAAAUUCCCCUGUGUGAAAAAGUGAUUGUCCCCUUAUACUCAAUAACUGGUUGUGCCUCCUUCAGCUGCAACGACUCCAACCAAACACUUCCUGUAGUUGUUGAUCAGUCCACCUUUAGCUGCAACGACUCCAACCAAACACUUCCUGUAGUUGUUGAUCAGUCCACCUUUAGCUGCAACGACUCCAACCAAACACUUCCUGUAGUUGUUGAUCAGUCCACCUUUAGCUGCAACGACUCCAACCAAACACUUCCUGUAGUUGUUGAUCAGUCCACCUUUAGCUGCAACGACUCCAACCAAACACUUCCUGUAGUUGUUGAUCAGUCUCUCACGUCGCUGUGGAGGAAUUCUGUCCCACUCUUCCAUGCGGAACUGCUUUAAUUCAGCAAUGUGUGGGUUUUCAAGCAUGAAAUGCUCUUUUCAAGUCCUGCCACAACAUCUCAAUUGGGACUAGGGAUUAGGUCUAAACUUUGACUAGGCCAUUCCAAUCUUCAAAUGUGUUGCUCUUUAGCCAUUUUUAUGUAGACUUGUGUUUUUAAUCAUUAUCUUGCUGCAUGACCCAGCUGCACUUCAGUUUCAGCUCACAGACGGACGGCCUGACAUCCUCCUGUAGAAUUCUCUGAUACAGAGCAGAAUUCAUGGUUCCCUACUAUUAAGGCAAGUCGUCCAGGUCCUGAGGUAGCAAAGCAUCCCCAAACCAUCACACUGCCACCACCAUGCUGACCCCAAACCAUCACACUACCACCACCAUGCUGACCCCAAACCAUCACACUACCACCACCAUGCUGACCCCAAACCAUCCCACUACCACCACCAUGCUGACCCCAAACCAUCACACUACCACCACCAUGCUGACCCCAAACCAUCACACUGCCACCACCAUGCUUGACCGUUGGUAUGAGGUUCUUACUGUGGAAUGCAGUGUUUAGUUUUUGCCAGGCAUAAAAACAAUUUUGUUUAACCAGGCAAGUCAGUUAAGAACAAAUUCUUAUUUUAAACGACGGCCAAGAAACAGUGGGUUAACUGCCUUGUUCAGGGACAGAAUGACAGAUUUAUACCUUGUCAGCUCGGGUGUUCAAUCUAGCAACCUGCUGGUUACUGGCCCAACGCUCUAACCACUAGGCUACCUGCUGGUUACUGGUCCAAUGCUCUAACCACUAGGCUACCUGCUGGUUACUGGCCCAAUGCUCUAACCACUAGGCUACCUGCUGGUUACUGG
ensembl:lncRNA